UACGGGGGGGGCAAGCGUUGUUCGGAAUUACUGGGCGUAAAGGGCUCGUAGGCGGCCAACUAAGUCAGACGUGAAAUCCCUCGGCUUAACUGGGGAACUGCGUCUGAUACUGGAUGGCUUGAGGUUGGGAGAGGGAUGCGGAAUUCCAGGUGUAGCGGUGAAAUGCGUAGAUAUCAGGAAGAACACCCGUGGCGAAGGCGGUUCUCUGGGACGGUACUGACGCUGAGACGCGAAAGCGUGGGGAGCGAACAGG
rnacentral:rRNA from 1 species